rnacentral:lncRNA from 1 species
AUCUGGAGCCAUCUAAGAAGCAGGCCUCCAGGAUCACCUGUGAGUGAGAUUUUCUUGCUUAGGUUAACCUCUGGAUCCAUAGUGAAGGGUUAGUUUGAUAAAAUGAAUUAAGGUAGAAACCUACCCUAAUGGGGGCUGGCACUAUUUCCUGGGCAGCAAAAAGGAAAGAGGGAAACCAGCUGGGUACCAGCUUUGUCCUUCCCUGCUUCCCAACCAUGGACAUGCGGACCAGCUGCCUCAAGCUCCUGGCACGGAACUGGAUCCAUUCCAACUACUGGUCCCCGGCCACCUGUGGCCCUGCCUCCACGUCAUCCUCUCCGCGGUCGCAGGGUCCCCGCACUUCCCAGGGCCGCAGCGGCUGCGUUCCCUUCGGAGGCCGCAGCCCAAGGGCCGCCCUAGUGGCCCUCAUGAUGGUCAGGGGCAUAUCGACCGCUACCUGCAGGAUCUGGUCUGCGGCAUCUGCCACCACAAGGAGAACGAGGUGAGCGGGCGAGGAGCGGGGCUGCGGCAUCUGCCACCACAAGGAGAACGAGCCUGUGACUUAAGAAAGAAGUGGCUGCUUAGCUCAGUGGAAAGACACAGCCAUCCUCCUGGACAGGAAGGCCAUACUAAAAGAGGGUGUCCAUGACAGGAGUCGCUGUGGCCACACUGUCUCUUCGAAGCAAUAAAACCCUAAUUAAGACACUGCCCAUAUACCCAAAGGAUACCUCAUCCUACCACAGAAGCCAUUGCUCAACCAUCUUCGUUGCUGCUCUAUUCAUAAUAGCCAGAAAUUGGAAACAAUCUAGAUCUUCAUCAAUGGAUUAAUGGAUUAAAAAAAAACAUGUGGUACACUUACACAGUG